rnacentral:rRNA from 1 species
AGUGAACGCUGGCGGUAGGCCUAACACAUGCAAGUCGAACGGCAGCACAGUAAGAGCUUGCUCUUACGGGUGGCGAGUGGCGGACGGGUGAGGAAUACAUCGGAAUCUACUUUUUCGUGGGGGAUAACGUAGGGAAACUUACGCUAAUACCGCAUACGACCUACGGGUGAAAGCAGGGGAUCUUCGGACCUUGCGCGAUUGAAUGAGCCGAUGUCGGAUUAGCUAGUUGGCGGGGUAAAGGCCCACCAAGGCGACGAUCCGUAGCUGGUCUGAGAGGAUGAUCAGCCACACUGGAACUGAGACACGGUCCAGACUCCUACGGGAGGCAGCAGUGGGGAAUAUUGGACGAUGGGCGCAAGCCUGAUCCAGCCAUACCGCGUGGGUGAAGAAGGCCUUCGGGUUGUAAAGCCCUUUUGUUGGGAGAGAAAAGCAGCAGGUUUAUACCCCGCUGUUCUGACGGUACCCAAAGAAUAAGCACCGGCUAACUUCGUG